CCCCUAGAUGUUCUGGGCCGCACGCGCGCUACACUGACCAGUGCAACAAGCAUCCGUCCUUGGCCGACAGGCCCGGGCAAUCUUUGAACGCUGGUCGUGAUGGGGAUAGACUUUUGCAAUUUUUGGUCUUCAACGAGGAAUUCCUAGUAAACGCAAGUCAUCAACUUGCAUUGAUUACGUCCCUGCCCUUUGUACACACCGCCCGUCGCACCUACCGAUUGAAUGGUCCGGUGAAGCCUCCGGAUUGGCGCGCACCUCGGUGCCGCCGAGAAGUUGGCUAAACCUUACCAUUUAGAGGAAGGUGAANUCGUANCA
rnacentral:rRNA from 1 species